GACGAACGCUGGCGGCGUGCUUAACACAUGCAAGUCGAACGGGAAGGCCCUGCUUUUGUGGGGUGGUCGGGUGGCGAACGGGUGAGUAACACGUGAGUACCCUGCCCUUGAGUUUGGGAUGACGUCAGGACACUGGGGCUAAUACCGGAUAGGAGCUCCUGCUGCAUGGUGGGGGUUGGAAAGUUUCGGCGGUUGGGGGUGGACUCGCGGCUUAUCCGCUUGAUGGUGGGGUAGUGGCAUACCAAGGCUUUGCCGGGUAGCCGGCCUGAGAGGGUAACAGGCCAAGUUGGGACUGAGAUAAGACACGGACUAGUACGGGACGGAGGGGUGGAGAAUAUUGCACUAUGGGCGGAAGCCUGAUGCAGCAUCGCCGCGUGCGGGAAGACAGGCUUGGCGUUGUAUAGCGCUUUCGCCUGUGACGAAGCGUGAGUGACGGUAAUAGGUAAAGAAGCACCGGCUAACUACGUG
rnacentral:rRNA from 1 species